GUCCACGCCGUAAACGAUGACGACUAGGUGUGUGUAACCGAAGGGUUAUGCGUACCGCAGCAAACGCGAUAAGUCGUCCGCCUGGGGAGUACGGCCGCAAGGCUAAAACUCAAAGGAAUUGACGGGGGCCCGCACAAGCAGCGGAGCGUGUGGUUUAAUUCGAUGCAACGCGAAGAACCUUACCUGGGCUUGACAUGCAUGUGGUAGGGAACCGAAAGGGGACCGACCUUCGGGAGCAUGCACAGGUGCUGCAUGGCUGUCGU
rnacentral:rRNA from 1 species